CUAGAGUAGAAACCCUAUAUUUCCUUAAUCUCUCUCAGCUGUUUUCCUUCGUCUCUUUGAGAUCAUCUUCUAUUACGUUCGUUCUAAACCUAAGAUGAGAGACGCUGUUAAAGUUGGAUCUGUUGUGCAGAGGAUGAUGAUCGUGGAAUUGUUCACAUAGUCGAGCAUCCUGCUUUCAGUACAACAAAGAAAUACACAAAUCAUGAUGUUGUUAAGUUUCUAGAAAUUGUUGGGGCAGAGUUUGGUGCGUGUCAAAAAUGCUGCAGCGUCAGCUGAUGAAACGAUGUAUGAAUUGCUUGUGCCUGUCGACAAGCCUGAACUAUUAUCGCAAGCUAUAUCAGUCCUAGCAGAGUUUGGCUCUGAGGUUCGAAUUUCAGCAGAAGAUUUGGAAAAAGAAAGAGGUGAUGUUCUGGAAGAAUAUAGAGGAACUCGCAAUGCCAAUGGUCGGAUGCAAGAUGCACACUGGAAUUUGAUGAUGGAAGGAUCAAAGUAAGCAUCUCUCCAUGGGAUGAUGAACACAUCCCGCAUCAGAUUGUCAGCACAAGGACAGAUCCAGGGAAAAUUUUGUUUUCGUACAAUGUUUUGUUCACUGGGAUAUGCUGGCCGGAAAGAUAGCUGAAGUUAGUACCAGGAUUGUAGCCUACAUGAGGUCGUUUUCUGGUGACUGCUCACCUUGUGUCCUUGAAAGUGCCUUGCAGCAGGGGCAGAGCCAGCCAAUUGCAAGGGGUUGCACUUGCACCCCCUGCCCAGCUGGCUCCAAAGCCCAUUUUAGGCCUGAUAAGAUUUUUUUUUUAAUUAACAAGCCCAUUUUUGCACUUUUGCACCCUCUAGAAUUUUUGGUUGCACCCAUACUAAAUUUUUGCACCCCCUUCUUAUGAUUCUUGCCUCCGCCCCUGCCUUGCAGGUUUGUUUAUUACUCUGUAAUCCUUACUGAGUCAGACCCAGAUGUCUCGGGUGACUUUAGCCAGAUCCAGACAAGCAGGAGUCAGUAAAUGUUCAUGGAAACACAUAGCAUUCGCAAUUAAUCUUUAUCAUUAUGUUCGUAUUUUUCUGCACACUGACACCAAAAAGAUAUCCGCUAUAUCUAUGUUUUUUGAGAAAACGCCAUACCGAUUAGAUGAGAGCACUGGUUACAUUGAUUUUAGUCAGGUACUUUGUUUUGAAAGCUGUUGCUCACCUUUUUCAAAUUUAAUUAUUGGUCGUAACACAAGUUCACAAGCAUAGGAGUAACUAUCUGAACAGAAAGUAACGCUGAAGUUAAUAAUUUCUUUUAUUUGUUCGGAUUUCAAUUACCAGUUGGAGAAAAGCGCUACACUCUUAAGGCCAAAACUGAUAGUGCUGGUGCAAGUGGUUAUUCAUGCUUGUAUGAUUAUGCAUGCAUUCGCCAGGCAAACUACAAGCUCAGUUGACCUUUUUUUUCAGUUUGGAUUAUUCUUUGGCGUCUUUGGGCUUUGGCAAUGUAAAAUCAUUGCCAGUUGAUCAUACUCUCUAGUCCGCAGUGGUAUCAUUUCACUGAACUUUGCCAUCUCGCUCAUAUAUUCUCAUCAUUUUCGUAGGAUAGAAUAAGGAUAAUUUAAGGGCCAAGUUUUCCUAUCUUUCUGUCAUACCUGUAUAUUUACUUUUAUACGGGUCUGCCUACUAACUGAAAAUUAAUCUUUUCACAGUUCGCCAAGUAAGGCUUUACAUGGUUAUUAUCGUUGGAAUUAGAUACUGCUACCAUGCACUCUCUUAAGUAACAUUCAUUUUCUUACGUUGUGACAUGUUAACUCUUGAAGACGUUGAAUGCGUUGGGGUAUGACCUUGUUUCCGCUGGUACCGAAUAUCUUGGUCAAUCUGAAAAGCAAGUGCAGGGCAUUGAUGGCUCAAGAGUUUAGAAAGUAAUGGAAUUAGUUCAUAUUGCUGCUAACAAGAACACUGUUUCCGAGGAUGUGUCUGCCGUGGUUCCUUGUGGCAUACGAAUGGGAACUCCUGCUCUCACAUCAAGGGGAUUCCUUGAGGAAGAUUUUGCUAAAGUAGCAGAGUUCUUUGAUGCAAAAAAGUUCCCUAAUUUUACCUUCUUGUCUUGGAUGUGUGCUUUUUAUAUGUUGAGAGCUUUCCAACCACAUCUAUCUGCUAAGUAUACUUGUUUCGCAUUUCUGAUAAUAAUAUGUGACAUCUGUAGGUGGAAAAUUGAAGGACUUUAUGGCCGCAGUUGAAAAUAGUGCUAGCAUUCAGUCUGAAAAUAAACAGCUCCGUCACGACGUCGAGGAAUACGCAAAUCGAUUCCCUACAAUCCGGUUCUGCAAAACAACAAUGAAAUACGAGCAAUGAAUUCCACUAUUAUAAGUAGGCGUAUAUGCUUCAAUAGUGCAGUGGAGUAUCUACAGAAGGCGAAAAGACAAACAGAAAGAGGUAUAAUGUAGAUGAACACGCAAGAAGAAAGCACCACCUGGUUUAAAUUUCAUUUUCUUCACUCAACAACUGGCUUUUAUGUGUAUUAAACUUGAUUGAUUAUGAUGGGAAUAUAAAGCUUGUCCCGAAAUUUAGGAUUAGCAGAAGAAUGAAAAAGAAAAACCAAUUGGUAAGAUUGGUGUUGCCCGGAUUACUCACCCUGAGCCAUAUAUGAGUGCCCCAGGGACGAGAUGCGUGUUACCAGAGGAUGGCCGGUUAAGUGUUUCCAAGAGUAACCAAGCUUUCCAAGCCUUACCAAUUGGCUGAUAUCAUGUCCGACAAUAUUUCCUUAUAAACUAUAUUAACAAACCUGGAAUAA